rnacentral:rRNA from 1 species
GAUGAACGCUAGCUACAGGCUUAACACAUGCAAGUCGAGGGGAAACGAUAGAGAAAGCUUGCUUUUUCUAGGCGUCGACCGGCGCACGGGUGAGUAACGCGUAUCCAACCUGCCCACCACUUGGGGAUAACCUUGCGAAAGUAAGACUAAUACCCAAUGAUAUCUCAAGAAGACAUCUGAAUGAGAUUAAAGAUUUAUCGGUGAUGGAUGGGGAUGCGGCUGAUUAGCUUGUUGGCGGGGUAACGGCCCACCAAGGCGACGAUCAGUAGGGGUUCUGAGAGGAAGGUCCCCCACAUUGGAACUGAGACACGGUCCAAACUCCUACGGGAGGCAGCAGUGAGGAAUAUUGGUCAAUGGGCGAGAGCCUGAACCAGCCAAGUAGCGUGCAGGAUGACGGCCCUAUGGGUUGUAAACUGCUUUUAUAAGGGAAUAAAGUGAGUCUCGUGAGACUUUUUGCGUGUACCUUAUGAAUAAGGACCGGCUAAUUCCGUGCCAGCCGCCGCGGUAA